AAUAGAUACCCGGGUAGUCCACGCCGUAAACGAUGAGUGCUAAGUGUUGGGGGUUUCCGCCCCUCAGUGCUGCAGCUAACGCAUUAAGCACUCCGCCUGGGGAGUACGGUCGCAAGACUGAAACUCAAAGGAAUUGACGGGGGCCCGCACAAGCGGUGGAGCAUGUGGUUUAAUUCGAAGCAACGCGAAGAACCUUACCAGGUCUUGACAUCCCGGUGACCACUAUGGAGACAUAGUUUCCCCUUCGGGGGCAACGGUGACAGGUGGUGCAUGGUUGUCGUCAGCUCGUGUCGUGAGAUGUUGGGUUAAGUCCCGCAACGAGCGCAACCCUUAUUCUUAGUUGCCAUCAUUCAGUUGGGCACUCUAAGGAGACUGCCGGUGAUAAACCGGAGGAAGGUGGGGAUGACGUCAAAUCAUCAUGCCCCUUAUGACCUGGGCUACACACGUGCUACAAUGGACGGUACAAACGGUUGCCAACCCGCGAGGGGGAGCUAAUCCGAUAAAACCGUUCUCAGUUCGGAUUGUAGGCUGCAACUCGCCUACA
rnacentral:rRNA from 1 species